rnacentral:lncRNA from 1 species
AAAAUACCACAUCAACUUUGUUAUCACCUUCACCCCUAAUCCUAAUUAUCAAGGAAUCUAGUCAUCGAAAUACAAAAGGCUAAAGUCCACCCUCUUUUAUGCAUAUUUUGUUAAUCAAUCUCUUAGAUUUACUAUUGUAGAACCCUAUGGCAUUCAUAUAUCAUUUCCUUAUGCAACAUAAGGAUGAAAAAAAGAAUAAGAAAAUUUGCGAUAUCAACACUGAAGAACAUGACAAACUUAGAUUAACAAUAGCGUUUGAUAUUUCCUUCUCCUUAGAGUGUCAAAUGUUACAAUUUUUACAAGAUGCAGAUGAAUAUAAUAAUAUAAUAUACGUAAAACCAUCCUCUCAACUAGAUAGAGCUGAAAAACAAGGUGCGUUGGGCUGGGCUUAAGAGAAGAAGCCGAAUGUGUCGAAAAUGGUAGUGUGAAGUGGGUCACUCAAGUGGGUAGCCCAGUUGUUAAGUGGGCCUUUUCCAGUAGCAGCAGCUUGGACAGCAAAGCCCAAGAAGGCAACCAUAGCAAGACGAGCAUGCUUGAUCUCAGCAAGUUGAAGUGUGGCUUUUUUCUCCGGGUCAGCAGCAAGGCCCAAUGGGUCGAAGAAUGAUCCACCAGGGUAAAGCCUCUUUUCCGGGUCAAGCUCAGCGUUUCUUUGGAAUUCAAUGUAUCCAAUAACAAGGACCUCAAUCCAGAUCAAUGUUGUAAU